AAAUCUCACCAUCCCCUCUAUUUUAAAAAAAAUGUAUCUACAAAGUAUUGAUGCCUAAUAAUCAUUUUGGGUUUCAUGGUGUCUAAAUGCAAUGGAGAGAUACAGCACAAAUGUGUAAAUGAUUAGCAAUACUUUAAAAAAGAACAUUGCAUGUGAGCUAAGUAGUGGACAAAGCCUGCUAUAAUUGCUCAUAUUGCAUGGGAACUUGGUGUGUAUGUGAAUUUAUCUUAGUGUCAUUUUUCAUACAUAUUAAAGUAUCAUUUCAUUAAAAUUCUUAAUGCAGCAUUGAACCUGGUCAGACUGAAAUGGGGAUGACAAACGUCAUGUCUGCCACACAGAUAACCAGACCUUAUGAAGGUGAAAUUAGUUUUCAGGAGCAGUACUGCUCACUUGAUUGAUUCUGUCUUAGAAGUCAUAUGACUUAAUGUUUCCUGCAUGGGCUUCCACUGUCAUGCAAACAUGACCUGAUAACACAUUGUCAGGAGCGCUCCAGAGAGCUAACAGCAAUCUAACAUCUUUCUACUGAGUGUGAAGUUCCAUCUGAAAUGUGCAUAUUUGAUAAGCAGCUCUUCUAUCUGUCCUUUUCAUUUUCAGAAAGUUAAUCUUCUUUGCUUCACUGGGCGCUGAGCAGAAAUCAGCUGGUUAGGAAAUGCGGCAGGUGGCCCCAAACUACAGAACAUGGACAGCUUGAGUCUCAGGAGGACGGCAGAUGAUGGGAUCUUUCAUAACAGAUCACCACAUCUAGGAACAACUCUUUGGCGGAUCAGUCAACCCAGCUAUGUGGAAACAGUCUCAAACAGCAUUUUGAAUAAGCACUUUUUGGUCUUUUUUAUAAGAUUAGUUCCUACUGACACAAACACUGACAUUACUAAAUGAAAUACCUGGUUAGUCCACAACAUAAAAUAUCUGGGUAAAAUUCGUAAACAUAUUUUUUAGCACAGCAAGAAGUAAUCACACAAGUCAGAAGUAUUUUUGUUCUGCUCCGUAGCCAUUGCCGAGACUAGGUUAUAGAGGGCAAGUAGUUGGUGCUGUUAUUGUUGAAUUGUAAAUCAUAGCUAUUAAAAAUCUUUUUGUAUUUUCUACUUUAUUCUCCAAUCACAAGAGCAGGGCAAGGCAUUCAGAAGUUUAUGAUAUGGUCAAGAAAACAUGUAAGCCAGACUAGGGAGGGUAAGGGUUAUAGUAUACUAGCUGUGCCCGGCCAUGUGUUGCUGUGGCGAAGUAUGGUGGUAUGGGAAAUAAAGUAUUGAGGAAUUGGUGGUGGUUAAGGUAAAGGGUAAAGGUUUCCCCUGAUGUUAAGUCCAGUCAUGACCAACUCUGGGGGUUGAUGCUCAUCUCCAUUUCUAAGCCGAAGAGCCGGCAUUGUCCAUAGCCACCUCCAAGGUCAUGUGGCCGGCAUGACUGCAUGGAGUGCCGUUACCUUCCUGCUGGAGGGGUACCUAUUGAUCUACUCACAUUUGCAUGUUUUCGAACUGCUAGGUUGGCAAGAGCUGGAGCUAACAGCGGGUGCUCAUUCCGCUCCCGGGAUUUGAACCUGGGACCUUUUGGUCCGCAAGUUCAGCAGCUCAACGCUUUAACACACUGUGCCACCAGGGAGGGUAAGGGCCUCCAAAUGUUCUUCAACUACUACCAGAUAUUGCCAAUAUAGUCAAGAACAACAGAAAAGAGGAGUGUCUGCUGGUGGAUUACAUAUCAAUGGGCUGAUGCAUUCCACUCUGGCUUCUAGUCCAGAUAAUUUGAGAAAUCCAGACUAAAAUCCAAAGAUCUGCCACUUCACCGAUAUUAAAGCCAUUCUCCUAAUAACUAGGAAAUGAUCUUUAUGCAGACAAACAUCCUGUAAAGUAGACAGUCCAGUAUACAUUUGUCUAGAAACAUGUCCUACUGAACUCAUUUUAUGUAUGAAAAGACACAAAGUAUAUAUAAUUGCAUUAUAUACUUUCAUUAUUUGACCCUCCAGAUAUUGUUGGACUGCAGUUCCAAAUGAUGAUGAUGAUGAUGAUGAUGAUGAUGAUGAUGAUGAUGAUGAUGAUAUAUUUUUAUUUCUUUCCUGCCUCUCCUGAUGGCUCAAGGCAGGUUACAACAUUGCUAAAACACAUAUUCAUCUAAAAACAGUCUUUAAAAUACACAUAUUAAAACAUAUUUCCACAAAAUAUAUAUUAAAAUACAUGAAAAAAUGAUUAUACAUUAGAUGCACAUUUAACAUUCAUCAUUAAAACUGUCAGGGUAGGCCUGCCGGAAGAGUUUUAAUUUGUGUCUUAAAUUGCAACAACUGAUAUAGCUGUCGGAGCUCUUCUGGCAGGUCGUUCCACGGUCUUAAGGUGGCCAAUGAAAAGGUUCUCUGAGUGACAGUUGCCAGUCAGGUUCUGGCAGGCUGGAGCAGACCCCCUCCCAGAGGACCUCAGUGUUUGAGUCAGAUUGUAUAGGACAAGGCAAUUGUGUAGGUAACCUGGACCCAAACCAUGUAGGGCUUUAUAGGUCAAAACCAACACUUUUUAUUCUGCCUGGAAACUAAUUGGCAGCCAGUAGCACAGGAACAUCCAGAAGUAAAUAUAUUACACCUAUCCUAAAGUCACUCCUGGAUGUUCCCAUAACCAAUCUGGCUGCCAUAUUUUGAACCAACUUGGUUCUUGGUACAUAGGUAACCCAAUGUAAAGUGAAUUGCAGAAGUCCAACCCUUUGGUUACCAGUGCAUGCAUUAUCAUCUUAAGGUUCUACUAAUCUAGGAAGGGGCACAGCUGAUGGAUCAUCCAAAGCUGUUAGUAAGCACACCUGAUGGGUGGCUAUGGUGGACUAGUGUGCUGGGAAUUGCAGUUGAACAUCUUGAAGGAGUUUAUGCAAUUCCUACCCCAAUAUAAACUGAAUUGCAAAACACAAAUAGAGUACAUAAUUCAAUCAAUGUACACAUGUGUUGACAUUCCAUUCAGUAGGUCAUUUCUAGUUGCAAUGAGCAGUUCGAUAUAAACCUUAGUUUUUUUAGUAGGCUCCAAUCCAUUUUCUUUCAGAGCAAACUGCAUUUGAAAUUGAUGGAAGUCUUCUGAAUCAAGAUAUUCUGAGGAGUGGGGAAGGAUUUUGUCAGUUCAUAAGAGAGCAGUUUGAACUACUAGAAGCCCAUUGCUUAAACCAGGGAAAUAUUUCUAGUCUCCUCCUCAAGUCUGCACUAAAUGAGGAAAAAGGAUGAAGGCUACACUCAUUAUUACCACAAAAUCUCAUCAUACAUUAUAUUGCAAGCAUUUUCUGCAUGAUAUCAGCAACAACAUCAACAUCAGUUGCUCUUUCUGAAUGUUUCAUAUUAAAAAUAUUUCAUAUUCUC